GCUUUGGCGGCCCCGUCGCAAGACAACCGGCUCCGGCUGGUCAGCGGCCGCCAGAGGACUCAAAACUCAUAUUAUUAUUGUCGUCUGAGUACUAUAUNAAUAGUUAAAACUUUCAACAACGGAUCUCUUGGUUCUGGCAUCGAUGAAGAACGCAGCGAAAUGCGAUAAGUAAUGUGAAUUGCAGAAUUCAGUGAAUCAUCGAAUCUUUGAACGCACAUUGCGCUCCCUGGUAUUCCGGGGAGCAUGCCUGUUCGAGCGUCAUUAUCAACCAUCAAGCCCUGCUUGGUAUUGGGUGCCGUCCCUGCUGCGGACGCUCCCUAAAGGCCUCGGCGGUGGUGUUGAACCUCAAGCGUAGUAAUUCUCCAGCUUCCCAGGUUCGGCGCCGCCCGCCUCCAGAAACCCCCAUUUCAAGGUUGACCUCGGAUCAGGUAGG
rnacentral:rRNA from 2 species